UACGAAGGGGGCUAGCGUUACUCGGAUUGACUGGGCGUAAAGGGCGCGUAGGCGGUUUGUACAGUCAGACGUGAAAUUCCUGGGCUCAACCUGAGGGCUGCGUUUGAUACGUGCGGACUUGAGUUCGGAAGAGGGUCGUGGAAUUCCCAGUGUAGAGGUGAAAUUCGUAGAUAUUGGGAAGAACACCGGUGGCGAAGGCGGCGCUCUGGACCGAGACUGACGCUGAGGCGCGAAAGCGUGGGGAGCAAACAGG
rnacentral:rRNA from 1 species